rnacentral:rRNA from 1 species
CAGCCGCCGCGGUAAUACAGAGGAUUUAAGCGUUAUCCGGAAUGAUUGGGCGUAAAGCGUCUGUAGGUGGCUUUUCAAGUCCGUCGUCAAAUCCCAGGGCUCAACCCUGGACAGGCGGUGGAAACUACCAAGUUGGAGUACGGUAGGGGCAGAGGGAAUUUCCGGUGGAGCGGUGAAAUGCGCUGAGAUCGGAAAGAACACCAACGGCGAAAGCACUCUGCUGGGCCGACGUUGACACUGAGAGACGAACGCUAGGGGAGAAAAUGGGAUUAGAUACCCCCGUAGUCCCUGUCUCUUAUAC